rnacentral:rRNA from 1 species
GCUUGUCUCAAAGAUUAAGCCAUGCAUGUCUAAGUGUAAAUACGUCUACACUGUGAAACUGCGAAUGGCUCAUUAAAUCAGUUAUCGUUUAUUUGAUGAUCUCUUGUUACAUGGAUAACCGUAGUAAUUCUAGAGCUAAUACAUGCGUCAAGCCCCGACUCACGAAGGGGUGUAUUUAUUAGAUGGAAACCAAUUCGGGGUAACCCGGUUUAUGGUGAUUCAUAAUAACUUUCGGAUCGACGCAAGUCGAUGCAUCAUUCAAGUUUCUGCCCUAUCAGUUGUGGAUGGUAGGGUAUUGGCCUACCAUGACUUUAACGGGUAACGGAGAAUUAGGGUUCGAUUCCGGAGAGGGAGCCUGAGAAAUGGCUACCACAUCCAAGGAAGGCAGCAGG